rnacentral:misc_RNA from 1 species
GUUACGUCAUACAUCCCAAACUCUUCCAUUAGUCACGCUAACGGACAGCUAAACAAGCUCUAUUCAAACCAGUAUGUGAUCGAGAGCGAAAGUGUCACACGCGUACUACGACACACACGAGGCUCUGCGUGCACGACCAUAAAAAUAACGGUAUUUAUUACUAGAGAGCUGUGAGCGUUCGUGUGCACCGCGUGUGACUUUGCUCUUGAACGAGAUGAGUUUAAUCACGAUUUCGACGCCGCACACAGUCCGUUCUCUACGCGGGCCUCGCCUAUAUAAGAGCAUGGCCAUGCCGCUUCUGCUUACUUUCCCUGGAACACCUGAACCUGGCAGUGUAUAGUCUGCUUUCCUGACGUGGCUUUUACAGUUGAACGACGAUGAGGCUAAUCUUGGCAACGCUUCUACUGGCGGCGACAGCUUUCGUCGUUGCUGACGAACACUUCCAGGACGCGCUGCCGACGGACGACACUCGGGAUCCCCGCCAGGUCGAGUUCAGCUUCACCUUCGACGACGACGACGAGAAGGAGGAGUCCGGCCGCGGCUUCGGCGACUCCUUCGAGGCUGACGGCUUCUACUCAGUCCGCAGGGCGUCCCGGUUUCCCGGCAGUCCGCUCUCCGGUACAGAGUAAUGGUCACGCACCUCCUCCAUCGACGCCCAGGCCGUCCGAGGCCCCGGAGGCGACUAUCAGAGCAGUCAGGAGUCACCAAGACGGACGCCCUAGAGCGCGCCGCCCCGUCCGCCGCCCGCACCGCUUCCGCCGUCCCUUCGCCGGGGGCGCGCGCCCUUUCCGACCCCAGCGGGAGUCCAUUGGGCAGAACUCUCUCGAGGACGACUUUGGUCCCGGAUUCGUCGGCAGCGGCGGCCCUGUCCGAGGUAAUGUCUACCGCGGCCGAGAGGAGGGAGUCAUGGGAUUCUUGGAGUCCUUCAGAAGGCUCAUUAGGAGAAUGAUCUAAGUCCCUGCACGCGAGCCAAUCCAUCCCUCCAGCAGCCCUUGCCCUUGAGACAGAGCUCAGAAUAGAGGUCCUCGCCCUUCACACAGAGAGACAGGAUGGCUAUACCAGUCUCUGCGGAUGACCCUGCCUGGUUCUCAAAGUGAAAUCCUAAGAGAGUUUUCGCCCGCGGUGAAGAACGCGUUCCGCUGGCCGAGUUUUCUGCAAGAACAGACGAAUCAUAAGUAGUCUAUUAGAAGUCUGCAUGUAACAUCACUUGUUUUCUAUGAAGUACCUGCACACCUAUGAAGUUUUUGUCUUCGUGAUAAGCACUUGUGAUAUUUGUUUUGAUAUAUGAAUCUGUACAACACAUUUACAUUGAGCAUAGAUACAUUUCCACACUUUAUAUAGAUUGAUUAUGAUGCGACAUUAAUAUUUGUUAUGAUAGCCUAGUGCUGGCCGCUGAGGCUGACAUUUGUUAAUAAAGACAGUAGAUUUAUUAGUGCCUAAUUCAUUGCGUAUACCUUUAGAUUAAUCAUUAAUAAAUGUUUUGUAAACUCUUACAUUUUUUAUUACAUGUUUUUGACAGCUAUAA